UACGGGGGGCGCAAGCGUUGUUCGGAAUUACUGGGCGUAAAGCGUGCGUAGGCGGUUUUGUAAGUCCUACGUGAAAUCCCCGGGCUUAACCUGGGAAUUGCGUUGGAGACUGCAAGGCUGGAGUCUGGCAGAGGGGGGUAGAAUUCCACGUGUAGCAGUGAAAUGCGUAGAGAUGUGGAGGAACACCGAUGGCGAAGGCAGCCCCCUGGGUCAAGACUGACGCUCAUGCACGAAAGCGUGGGGAGCAAACAGG
rnacentral:rRNA from 1 species